rnacentral:lncRNA from 1 species
GCCCCUCGCCUCGGCCCGGCCUCGGGGUCCGGGCGGAGGGUUUCACUGUCCGCGGGGCCCGCGCCUCUGUGCUUCUCCACGGUGCCGGCUGCGCGGAGCCGGGAUGCGCUGCGCCUGCUGCGGGUCCUCAUUAUGGAGCCCAAACGCCUGGAGAUUCCCGGCAGCGUCCUGGAUGAUCUCUGCAGCCGAUUUAUUUUGCAUAUUCCCAGUGAAGAAAGAGACAAUGCGAUCCGAGUGUGCUUCCAGAUUGAACUUGCCCAUUGGUUUUACUUGGAUUUCUACAUGCAGAACACACCAGGAUUACCUCAGUGCGGGAUAAGAGACUUUGCCAAAGCUGAUAUCCUUUUUGUUGCUAUAAUGAUUGUCUUUCAUUGUUUCUAAUAAAAUACUUUUGC